rnacentral:rRNA from 1 species
GACGAACGCUGGCGGCGUGCUUAACACAUGCAAGUCGAACGGAAAGGCCCUGCUUUUGUGGGGUGCUCGAGUGGCGAACGGGUGAGUAACACGUGAGUAACCUGCCCUUGACUUUGGGAUAACUUCAGGAAACUGGGGCUAAUACCGGAUAGGAGCUCCUGCUGCAUGGUGGGGGUUGGAAAGUUUCGGCGGUUGUGGAUGGACUCGCGGCUUAUCAGCUUGUUGGUGGGGUAGUGGCUUACCAAGGCUUUGACGGGUAGCCGGCCUGAGAGGGUGACCGGCCACAUUGGGACUGAGAGACGGCCCAGACGCCUACGGGAGGCAGCAGUGGGGAAUAUUGCACAAUGGGCGGAAGCCUGAUGCAGCAACGCCGCGUGCGGGAUGACGGCCUUCGGGUUGUAAACCGCUUUCGCCUGUGACGAAGCGUGAGUGACGGUAAUGGGUAAAGAAGCACCGGCUAACUACGUG